GUCCUUUUGAUUAUAAUUUAAGGUCUAACCUGCCCACUGAUUAAUUAAAUGGCCGCGGUAUCUUGACCGUGCAAAGGUAGCAUAAUCAUUAGUUUUUUAAUUGAAAGCUAGAAUGAAUGGUUGAAUAAGAAAAAAUCUGUCUCAGUUUAGAUUUAUUAAAACUUUAUUUUUAAGUGAAAAAGCUUAAAUAUGAUUUAAAGACGAGAAGACCCUAUAGAGUUUUAUAAAAAAUUUAUAUAAAAAUUUAAGUUUAAAAUUUUUUUGUGUAGGAGUUUUAUUUAAUUGGGGUGAUUAAAAAAUUUAAUAAACUUUUUUAUUUUUAUACAUUAAUUUAUGAUUAGUUGAUCCAUUUUAAUGAUUAAAAGAUAAAAUUACCUUAGGGAUAACAGCGUAAUUUUUUUUGAGAGUUCUUAUCGAAAAAAGAGAUUGCGACCUCGAUGUUGGAUUAAAAUUAAUAUUUGGUGAAGAAGCUAAAUUAUUAAGUCUGUUCGACUUUUAAAAUUUUACA
rnacentral:rRNA from 1 species